GCUCACUUUUGGACCCUCUCCAAAAUCCAACUGCGGAAGAAUCCAACUGCAAAGCCAAAACCAUUAAGGAAUGCAAGCUGAACUUGCAUCGCAGAGAGAGGGAAGGAGUUGGAUGAAGAAGGGCAGCAGCGAUGAGAUCCUUGGCAUCAGCCUCCAGCUAUUAAGUUGCAGGGGAUGUUGUAUUUGCAUGGCAGUGGAAGUCUUCCAGGGCCCUUUAUUGAAGGCAAGUCAAUGAGCCUGGGCUGUGGCAGGACUGGAGUGUCCUUUUUCCCAGAGCUUACACCACUUACGAAGCCGGUGAUUUUGCACUGUGGGUACCACAGGAAUUUAACAGUGCUUUGUUUUCAGUUUUUAUUUAUAAAGUUGAUAUUCCCAGCACCAAAAUCACUGCUGCUUGGUGGCAAGCAUAAGCCAAAGGCACUACCUAAAAUAUCACUCUGCUUUUUGUGAAAGAUAAAUAGCUAUAUAUGCUUGAAAUGGUUUAAUUUUACAGCCCGUCAGAGGGUAACUCUGUUCUAUGAAAGCUUUUCAGCUUUUCCUGCUUUUAAUACAUUGUGAGGUCAGUGGUCAGUACUUUUAAGUGCUCAUGGAAGGACUACAGAGAAAAAUACAAGAGGAAUCAGGAUGAUGAAGAAUUCAGGUAGGUGUGUGUGGAUGUAAAUAAAAAUGCAUGAGUAGACUGAGGUCAAUUUAAAUGGCACACCAGUCUUCUGAAAUCUGAGUUGCCUUCACAAGGGCUCUCAAAAAGAAGCCUUUAUUUCAGCCAUAGGUAAAAGCAACUGGAGCUUUGGAUGUAAUGCAUGAGAAGCACAGGUUUGUAAUGGCUUCCCAGCAUCACUACAUCUGGUGCCUGGAUACCAGUAGCACGGGCUUUGCAGUAAAAGUGUACUCAACUUCAUAGCUUUUGUUCUCAGGAUUGCUUCUUAUGAAUUCACCAAACUUUUAGAAUAAAUCCCUUGAAAAUUCACAGUCUGUUCUUCCCAAAUGUUACCUCAGACAUGUGUUUCAUCAUUGGUCUGUUCUGUUGGUGUUUCAUUGGGUUGUAUCCUUGGCUAUCGCCCUGUUUGUGUGAGGUGUUAUUUGGCUUUUUCAUAAUGGCAGGGCUUUUAUCCCAGUUAAAAUUUUCCAUUCUGAGUUCCUUGUUCAAUAGGGUUUGCAUCUUGGCUAAAAACUGAUGUGGUUUUAGUUGAAAGUUGCUCAAUUUCAGGAAGAGAUUUGUCAUAUCUUUAACUAUUACUUGAAAACCACUAAUGUGCUAGGGUUCAUUUCAUUGUACAAUGCUGUUGAGAAAAUGAUGAUGCAGAGCAGAGUCAGAUUCCUUCUCUCACUUCUUAUGACGAUUAGUUAAUCUUUUUAGGAGCUACUUUAAAAAACAUUCAUGUCUUUUUUCAAUGCUUUUUCUUUCUGAAGCUCUCAAUUCUGCCUUGUAUUCCUCAAAUCUGCCGGAAGUUUCAAGUAGACCAGUUCUGAUCCUCUCAGGUUUAAGAGAGAACAGGCAUUUAAGACUGAAGCUGCAGAGGUAGUGAUGAAAAGUUAGUAUGAAACAUCAUCCCACUUCUGCACCAGAACUACCAGCAGCUGAGUUGGCCACGCCAUAAUUUCAGAUAUCAGAUGCCAUUUUGUUUGCAGAGUGCUGUGAGUAGCACGUGCACUUGUAGCAGGAGCUGAGCUAAUAGCAGAGGGAACUGUGCAAGGUAUGAUGAUACUGUGAUAGCCUAAUAUAAUAUACACAUGAAUAAGAGAAAAGAUGUUCCAGGGUGAAGCCCCUCAUGUAAACAUUUGCAGUGUGUUGCAGCAGACAGUUGGGCAGGUCAGUAUUUCUGUUCUGUUCUGCUGCAUUUUUGUGUAUGUUAUUGCCACAGCAAAUGACAUAAUUAUGCCUUAUAUAAUAACAAUGCUUCUGAGGAGCUGUUUCUCUCCCAGAGCUCUUAAUUAACUUUUCAAGUAACUUUUGAAAAAUUCUGGUAACUGAAAUUUCCCAGAGUACUGUGCAUCAUUGUGAGAUUUAACUCAGAUAUAGGAUAAUUGCUGUAAUACUCCCUAGAUGAUGCUAAGUGCAGGGGAAGCUGAUGCUUUCCUUUCCAGGAGACAAGGGAAGGGCCCAGGACUGCUUCCUUUUAAACAGUAGGUAUGGGAACAACAGCCUUCAAACAAUAGGUUAUUUACUCAUCCUUCUGGCUUUCAAGUUGGUAAACUUCAGUUCUCCAGACUUUGAAGCCCAUGUGAGAAACCUUCUGUUUUUUUUCUUUCAUUUAAUCCUAUUGCAAAAUUUGAGACAGUGCUAUUUUUAACUUGGAAUGAUUUUUUUUUUUUCUUUAACAGGUGCAGAUUCACUCUACAGGAGUAGUUUCAGCCUCAGUGAUGAAAAACUUAACUCUCCAACUGCAUCUACUCCAAGCUUGCCAUCUCCAUCAGUAACUCCUUGUAAAGCAAAACUUGGAGACACGAAAGAACUGGAAGAAUUCAUAGCUGAUCUUGACAGGACACUAGCAAAGUGUUGAACCCAAAACAACAAAACAUAGGACUAGACCUACAGAGCCACAUGUUCAAAAGCUGUAUGUGAACUGAAUCUUUGGCACUGUUUGCCUGUGGAUGUCAUCUGAAGGAUAAGUGACAUCAGUCGUGGAGAACUGCUGCCUUUGUCUGAUAACUUUGUUACCCAAGAUAUUCACCUUGUGAACACAACCUUUGUAAACUCCUACAAGUAUUUAACUGGCAAACAUCAGUGUUGUUACUUUGCAGCAGCUGGAAUCAGAUAACUUAAAUUUUCCAGCUAUAUUUUACUUUAAAAUAUAGCUUGAAUUUUAAUUUAAAGUUGCUUUUAUGAAAAUGUAUUUGUAAUUUUAUAUAGUUGAGAACUUUUAAUGCUUCUUUUCCAUUAUAAUAUAUUUUUAUACAAAUAAACCCUGAACCUGGAAUCCAGAUCUCUGAAACUUUCAUGUGAACAUGUGAGCUGUGAAACAUCAGUACAAAUCAUGCACUUACUGAAAACAUGGAGCUUGAAAAUAUCUAAUAAGGUUGUAUUUUUUAUUAGGCAAAAUGUAUUACACUGUCUUCAUACAGAACUUCAUAUUGUUACUAUCAAAUUGCUUAAGUAUUUUUUUUUACUAUGUGAAAUUUAGUAUAGUCAGGAAAAUAAAGUUAGUUAAGUUUUUAUUUAUAUUAAAGGUAAUCUGAAAUAACAUUGACUUAGUACAGAUUUGAACAAUAACACCUAUUUCGAACCCUGUCUAAAAGCUGUCUGUAAAGUUCCAUGUCAUUCUCUAUUAAGUACUAAUUAGGAGGUUAGGAAUUUAGGCCUAGAGUUUAAAGAGAUACUGCAGCAUCGAGAAAAUGCUCAAAUGUCCAGAGUCAGAAAAACCUGAACGCUUGUGUCCAAAAUAGUCUCCAUCCCUUUAAAAGGACUGCCUGACCAUUGCUGUCUUGCUGCAAGAGUGGAAGGUGAAGUUGUAUUCUUUUGUUUUGUAUAAGGAACCUGAUUCUUUCCAUAUGCAUUAAGCACUGAAGAUAAUGUGUGAGCUCUCCUUCAGCUGCUGCAGGCAUUACACUCAGCUCUGCUGUCCAAGCUGCUCAUGUGAUUGCCCUCUAAUCCGUUCAGGCAAAGUGAGCUAGACUUCUUUAAGCUGCAGGUCUUAUUUUGAAUUGUAGCAGGCUAGUGAACAGUCACAGAAAUGGUUCAAGUAUUGUGCCCCUUGGAGCUGUUAUCUUUAAAAAUGCAGCCAUGGCUGGAAAAGGAUGCAUUUGCACCAAUGGCACAGUGACCAGCCAGUUCCUUAGGGGCUUAGUGGGUGGAUUUGGACCUGUCUUCUGCAACCUGGGGGGAGCAUAAUCUGUGUUCUUUGAUAAUAGAAGCAGCACGAUCAAAUCCAUCCCUCUGCUUUGGAUUUUCAAACAAAUAAUCAAGAAUUUGGAUUGUGUUAAGUGUAAUGUGUUUGGAAUUUUUUUUUUU